rnacentral:rRNA from 1 species
CCUGAGUACGACGGAGCACGUGAAAUUCCGUCGGAAUCUGGGAGGACCAUCUCCUAAGGCUAAAUACUCUCUAGUGACCGAUAGUGAACCAGUACCGUGAGGGAAAGGUGAAAAGCACCCCGGAAGGAGAGUGAAAUAGAACCUGAAACCGUGUGCUUACAAGUAGUCAGAGCCCGUUAAUGGGUGAUGGCGUGCCUUUUGUAGAAUGAACCGGCGAGUUACGAU